UACGAAGGUCCCGAGCGUUGUUCGGAAUCACUGGGCGUAAAGGGUGCGUAGGUGGUGAGGUAAGUCGGAUGUGAAAGCUCCGAGCUCAACUCGGAAAUGGCAUUGGAAACUACCUUGCUGGAGGGUUUGAGGGGGACUGGAAUUCUCGGUGUAGCAGUGAAAUGCGUAGAUAUCGUAAGGAAGACCAGUGGCGAAGGCGGGUCUCUGGACAGUUCCUGACGCUGAGGCACGAAGGUCAGGGGAGCAAACAGGG
rnacentral:rRNA from 1 species